rnacentral:rRNA from 1 species
GACGAACGCUGGCGGCGUGCCUAAUACAUGCAAGUUGAGCGCUGAAGGUUGGUACUUGUACCAACUGGAUGAGCAGCGCACGGGUGAGUAACGCGUGGGGAAUCUGCCUUUGAGCGGGGGACAACAUUUGGAAACGAAUGCUAAUACCGCAUAAAAACUUUAAACACAAGUUUUAAGUUUGAAAGAUGCAAUUGCAUCACUCAAAGAUGAUCCCGCGUUGUAUUAGCUAGUUGGUGAGGUAAAGGCUCACCAAGGCGAUGAUACAUAGCCGACCUGAGAGGGUGAUCGGCCACAUUGGGACUGAGACACGGCCCAAACUCCUACGGGAGGCAGCAGUAGGGAAUCUUCGGCAAUGGACGAAAGUCUGACCGAGCAACGCCGCGUGAGUGAAGAGGGUUUUCGGAUCGUAAAACUCUGUUGGUAGAGAAGAACGUUGGUGAGAGUGGAAAGCUCAUCAAGUGACGGUAACUACCCAGAAAGGGACGGCUAACUACGUG